rnacentral:rRNA from 1 species
AUGAACGCUGGCGGCGUGCCUAAUACAUGCCAGUCGCGCGAACAGACGAGGAGCUUGCUCCUCUGACGUUAGCGGCGGACGGGUGAGUAACACGUGGAUAACCUACCUAUAAGACUGGGAUAACUUCGGGAAACCGGAGCUAAUACCGGAUAACAUGUUGAACCGCAUGGUUCAACAGUGAAAGACGGUCUUGCUGUCACUUAUAGAUGGAUCCGCGCCGCAUUAGCUAGUUGGUAAGGUAACGGCUUACCAAGGCAACGAUGCGUAGCCGACCUGAGAGGGUGAUCGGCCACACUGGAACUGAGACACGGUCCAGACUCCUACGGGAGGCAGCAGUAGGGAAUCUUCCGCAAAGGGCGAAAGCCUGACGGAGCAACGCCGCGUGAGUGAAGAAGGUCUUCGGAUCGUAAAACUCUGUUAUUAGGGAAGAACAAAUGUGUAAGUAACUAUGCACGUCUUGACGGUACCUAAUCAGAAAGCCACGGCUAACUACGUG